rnacentral:rRNA from 1 species
GACGAACGCUGGCGGCGUGCUUAACACAUGCAAGUCGAACGGUAAGGCCCUUCGGGGUACACGAGUGGCGAACGGGUGAGUAACACGUGGGUGAUCUGCCCUGCACUUCGGGAUAAGCCUGGGAAACUGGGUCUAAUACCGGAUAGGACCACUGCCUGCAUGGGUGGUGGUGGAAAGCUUUUGCGGUGGGGGAUGGGCCCGCGGCGUAUCAGCUUGUUGGUGGGGUGAUGGCCUACCAAGGCGACGACGGGUAGCCGGCCUGAGAGGGUGACCGGCCACACUGGGACUGAGAUACGGCCCAGACUCCUGCGGGAGGCAGCAGUGGGGAAUAUUGCACAAUGGGCGCAAGCCUGAUGCAGCGACGCCGCGUGAGGGAUGACGGCCUUCGGGUUGUAAACCUCUUUCAACACCGACGAAGCGCAAGUGACGGUAGGUGCAGAAGAAGGACCGGCCAACUACGUGCCAGCCGCCGCAGUAA